UGAUGAUGGUGGUAGUGGUGGUGGUGAUGAUGAUGAUGGUGGUGGCAGUAGUGAUGAUGAUGAUCAUCAUCAACAUCAUCAUCAUCAUCAUUAUGGUGA
rnacentral:pre_miRNA from 1 species